ACUUUUGAUCAAUGGUGAUAUCGCAACCGAUGAGGUUUUACUGAGUUGCAGUUAUUGCUAGUAGAAACUUAAAUUGGAAUGAAGAAUUUGGAUUAGAUUCCGAAAGUAAAUCCAAAAUCAGUAUCUGGAGUUUAGAAUAUGAC